CCGCUUAUUUUGAAAGUGACCUAACUCCGUUUUUCAAUUUUUUGCCGGUUACCAUGGUUACAUGUACAACUUCAUGUUAUUUAUCAGUGACGCACUUCAGAUUGCUUAUAUUCAGAGAAAAUACGGUACAUUUUUUACACAUAGGUUUUCCGAAUUAAUUGAAUAACUGACCCGUGUGGUUUGAAAGUGGCCUAACUCCAUUUAUAGUUACAUCAAGGUAUUUACUAUUGAUAAUGUCGGAAAGCAGCGAUGAAGAAAUUAUUGCAAGCAUGAGGAAGAACCGAAGAAGACCACUUAGUUCAGAUAGUGAAAAAGAAAUAGUAAUUAAUAAUUUAAAAAAAGCGAAUAAGAAAAAGAGUUAUAAAAUAAUAUUCCUCGUCAGAGGAUGAAGAUUCAAAUAACAAUGGAGAAAAGAUUGAUGCACCAUAUAUCCAAAAAGUGCGAAAGAUAAAACGGAAUUCAGGAAAAAGAUAUUGCAGUUAAACCGGAAGUAUUGUUCAUGAAAAAAAUUUCGAACCAAAGAUUGUGGUUGUCGGAAUGCGUGCACAAAAAAUUAUAAUGAAGAAGAAAGAAAGAAUAUUUUUGAGAAGUUUUGGGGUUUGGCAGAUUUUAACAAACAAAAUGUAUUACUUCACGAAGCUGCCUGUGAAACGAAGACGUUUUUUUUCUUCAAUUUGAAACAUCUUAAAUUAUGUUGAAUGGACUUGGGCAUCUUCAAAUUUUAUAAUGAAUCUGGCUGUUAAUUUUGAAAGUGGCCCAACUCCAUUCUUGAUAAGGAAACGCACGUUAUUUACUUAAUAAUUGCCACUACUUUAACAGGAACAGUAAAUUUAACAUCCUAAGAUACGCUUAAGCAGUAUGACUCCUUUGUAUCUUAUACGUAUAUUUUUAAAUUCAUUGAAACGCAAAACUUUCAAUAUCUCGAUUUGAAGAUAAAUGGAGUUAGGCCACUUUCAAAAUAAGCGGCUCAUUUAGUAAUAACACACCAGUGUGGUAGUUAUUUGUGGGACGUGCGUGGUGGCCGUCGGAUAAGUAUGCACGGUGCUGUGUUUAUCAAUCGUGGAUUAAUUUUUGGUUUACCUAUGCGCGCGUGUCCGUUGGCAAUCAGUUAUUGUUUCGCACAUAAGAAUAACUUGAACUUAUAAUUAAUUCCUGCAAAUGGACAACUUUGAUGCUCAGACAGAAUGUUUGUGAGUGCACGAAUGGAGUUAGCAAUAUCUAUAGGUAUAGUGUUGGAGACGCGCGUAUUGUAAGGCAAGUUUUUACUACUCCAAAAUGUUCUAACUGUUGAUUAUUUUUAUUUAAAAAAAUGUAUCUAUUAUUAUUGUUCUCAGUAAAACACAAUGUAAAAUUACAA